GACGAACGCUGGCGGCGUGCUUAACACAUGCAAGUCGAACGAUGACGACCGAGCUUGCUCGGUCUGAUUAGUGGCGAACGGGUGAGUAACACGUGAGCAACCUGCCCUUCACUCUGGGAUAACCUCGGGAAAUCGGGGCUAAUACCGGAUAUGAGCUCCUGUCGCAUGGCGGGGGUUGGAAAGUUUUUCGGUGAAGGAUGGGCUCGCGGCCUAUCAGUUUGUUGGUGAGGUAGUGGCUCACCAAGGCGAUGACGGGUAGCCGGCCUGAGGGGGCGACCGGCCACACUGGGACUGAGACACGGCCCAGACUCCUACGGGAGGCAGCAGUGGGGAAUAUUGCACAAUGGGCGAAAGCCUGAUGCAGCGACGCCGCGUGAGGGAUGACGGCCUUCGGGUUGUAAACCUCUUUCAGCAGGGAAGAAGCGAAAGUGACGGUACCUGCAGAAGAAGCGCCGGCUAACUACGUG
rnacentral:rRNA from 1 species